GACGAACGCUGGCGGCGUGCUUAACACAUGCAAGUCGAACGGAAAGGCCCUGCUUUUGUGGGGUGCUCGAGUGGCGAACGGGUGAGUAACACGUGAGUAACCUGCCCUUGACUUUGGGAUAACUUCAGGAAACUGGGGCUAAUACCGGAUAGGAGCUCCUGCUGCAUGGUGGUGGUUGGAAAGUUUCGGCGGUUGGGGAUGGACUCGCGGCUUAUCAGCUUGUUGGUGGGGUAGUGGCUUACCAAGGCUUUGACGGGUAGCCGGCCUGAGAGGGUGACCGGGCGCAUUGGGACGGAGAUACGGCCCAGACUCGUACGGGAGGCAGCAGUGGGGAAUAUUGCACAAUGGGCGGAAGCCUGAUGCAGCAACGCCGCGUGCGGGAUGACGGCCUUCGGGUUGUGAACCGCUUUCGCCUGGGACGAAGCGUGAGUGACGGUAAUGGGUAAAGAAGCACCGGCUAGCUACGUG
rnacentral:rRNA from 1 species